GCACACAUUCGUCAAGUAAUUAAUUCUCCACUUAGCAUUCUCUCUUAGCUUAUAUGCAGCCUUAACAGAUGUCACUGUAAAUAUUGCCAAGUUAUGUAUCAGACUUGUGGGCAGCCCUAAGCAACUUGGGCAGAAUAUUGCUUAAUGUACUCUCUACAGUAGCUCUGCUGGAGCAUCUAGUUCUUCACCUACUACUCACAUACUUCAAAUUAGCCAUCUUUGUGUGCAUCUUCUAGCAUGCAUUCUCUGUUUUAGUAAUGAGCUCUACUUUUAACAGCAGGAAAUAUCUUCCUAUGUAACUUGUAAGAGAGUGAACACCUCACCAGCACCCUGCUUCAAAUACACCAACAGAUACAUACUAGUGCCUAAGUAACUGACAAAGCAUAACUAUGGAGUUAAUUUAUUCUCAAGUUGAGUAUCCUAUUAUUGAUUAGGUACCAGAAUUAAAGGGUUUCUGAAGAAGGAACACUCUACUCCAAAUACAAACUGGAACAAGCAGUUUAACUGUAUUAUUACCUGUUGUUUAUAUGCGUUAUCUUCUCCAAACUAUAGUUACUUCCCCUUUUUCCCCAUUGCCAAAAUAAAAUGCAAAUGCAGCUCACAUUGCAAUUUUAUCAUUCAAGACACAGGUAAUGAUUUUAAGCUUUAAGUUUUGUGGCACAUUAUAAGUGUCCAGAUAUCAAACCAAUUUCUUCUCGCAAAGCCAAUGCUAAAUGUUACAGUUUGAUGCCCUCCUUGUAAUGGAGAUUAAGAUUCCCUUCUACUUUAUCCUUAUAGCAAAGCUGAACUGUGGUUGAUAACAUAAAUAACUUGGUAGUAAGUUC